GAUGAACGCUGGCGGCGUGCCUAAUACAUGCAAGUCGAGCGAACAGAUGAGGAGCUUGCUCCUCUGACGUUAGCGGCGGACGGGUGAGUAACACGUGGAUAACCUACCUAUAAGACUGGGAUAACUUCGGGAAACCGGAGCUAAUACCGGAUAAUAUAUUGAACCGCAUGGUUCAAUAGUGAAAGACGGUUUUGCUGUCACUUAUAGAUGGAUCCGCGCCGCAUUAGCUAGUUGGUAAGGUAACGGCUUACCAAGGCAACGAUGCGUAGCCGACCUGAGAGGGUGAUCGGCCACACUGGAACUGAGACACGGUCCAGACUCCUACGGGAGGCAGCAGUAGGGAAUCUUCCGCAAUGGGCGAAAGCCUGACGGAGCAACGCCGCGUGAGUGAUGAAGGUCUUCGGAUCGUAAAACUCUGUUAUUAGGGAAGAGCAAAUGUGUAAGUAACUAUGCACGUCUUGACGGUACCUAAUCAGAAAGCCACGGCUAACUACGUG
rnacentral:rRNA from 1 species